rnacentral:misc_RNA from 1 species
GAUGAAGAACGUAGCGAAAUGCGAUAAGUAGUGUGAAUUGCAGAAUUCCGUGAAUCAUCGAAUCUUUGAACGCACAUUGCGCCUUCUGGUAUUCCGGAAGGCAUGCCUGUUCGAGAGUCAUUAACAACCGUUUCGAUCCCUUUCUUUCAGAAAUUACAAAGAGGGAAAGGGUUUGGUUAUGGUGGAGGAGGGAAAGGGAGCGUUUAGCCUGUAAAAAAAGAGGCUGUGUUCCGCCUCCCCCCCAAAAUUGUACAGGCGGUCGUGUGCGCCCACGCAUCGAGGUGUUGUAAAAGCUGCCACGGCACUUUUCACCUGUGCAGUGCGAGAUUGGCCAGCCGGUUUAAAAACCCCUCCAAACAAUCAAAGGUUGACCUCGGAUCAGGUAGGGAUACCCGCUGAACUUAAGCAUAUCAAUAAGCGGAGGA